rnacentral:rRNA from 1 species
UACGGAGGGUGCAAGCGUUAAUCGGAAUUACUGGGCGUAAAGCGCACGUAGGUGGCUUGGCAUGUCGGGUGUGAAAUCCCGGGGCUCAACCUGGGAACUGCAUCCGAAACUGCCUUGCUAGAGUACGGGAGAGGGAAGUGGAAUUCCCGGUGUAGCGGUGAAAUGCGUAGAUAUCGGAAGGAACAUCAGUGGCGAAGGCGGCUUCCUGGACCAAUACUGACGCUCAGGUGCGAAAGCGUGGGGAGCAAACAGG